rnacentral:rRNA from 1 species
UACAGAGGUCCCAAGCGUUUUUCGGAUUUACUGGGCGUAAAGGGUGCGUAGGUGGUAGGGUAAGUUCGGUGUGAAAGCUUCGAGCUCAACUCGGAAAUGGCAUUGAAAACUAUCCUGCUUGAGGGUCGGAGGGGAGACUGGAAUUCUCGGUGUAGCAGUGAAAUGCGUAGAUAUCGAGAGGAACACCAGUGGCGAAGGCGGGUCUCUGGACGAUUCCUGACACUGAGGCACGAAAGCUAGGGGAGCAAACAGG